rnacentral:lncRNA from 1 species
ACUUAACAACACUUUUAACCAUAUUAAUGCUGUUAAGUCUACCUCCCAUAAUCCUACCAAGACAACCCUUGUCCUCCCCUACUCCGACUUAAGCCCUCGCCGAUCCAGCCCAACCCCACCACCACGAGACCGCCCCUCCCUCUCUCUCUCUCUCUCUCUCUCUCUCUCUCUCUCUCUCUCUCUCUCUCUCUCUCUCUCCGACAUAGCCCAACUCCCUUCCCCUGCUUACCGUCAACCAACUGAGACAGAGCCAGAACCACCCCACCCCUCCUUCUCAUAAAUUUUUAUAAAUUCCAACCCAAAAUUCCAAAUUUUAGAAUUAAAAAUCCAUUCUUUGAUUUUUCAUGGGUGCAAAUCGGUGGAAUUGAAUUCAUCGACCAUAGGUGUGAGUCGGCUUGGUCGGUGUUGAGAGUAUGGGGGCUUCAGUCAGUUUUCGAGAAUGAGAAUUGAGGCACAAUCCAUGAGAUAGAAGCAUUAGCCUCAGUGUUUUCAAAGGCAUGCCUACGCGAGUGUCGGUGCUGGCGUCGGAGCGAGGCGACAGGAGAUCGCCUGAGGCAGUCGGCUGUUUCGUAAGCUACACGUUUAGCACGGUGAGGUGUGGAAAGGCAUGACGAGGCGCUGCAAGGCUGGCCAGGCGGACGAGAUGGCGUGAGGAAGAAGAAGAAGAGUGUGAAAUUUUUUUUUAAGGGUUGUAAAAUGACGUCGUUUCACUUUCAGCCUUUUUAAAACUAAGGUUACUUUUAAAAAUAAAAAUAAAGUUAAAAAAACUGAGGUUACUUAAAUGAAACGCACGUUCAGUAUUGUUUCUUUCCUUCUUUUUAUUUUUUAUUUUUUUAUAAUGAAAUUAAUAUAUUAAGUUAAUAAUACAUGCUGUGUAUUCUAUAUAUCAAUUGUAGAUUCUAUUCUA